rnacentral:rRNA from 1 species
GACGGACGCUGGCGGCGUGCUUAACACAUGCAAGUCGAACGGAAAGGCCCUGCUUUUGUGGGGUGCUCGAGUGGCGAACGGGUGAGUAACACGUGAGUAACCUGCCCUUGACUUUGGGAUAACUUCAGGAAACUGGGGCUAAUAACGGAUAGGAGCUCCUGCUGCAUGGUGGGGGGUGGAAAGUUUCGGCGGUUGGGGAUGGACUCGCGGCUUAUCAGCUUGUUGGUGGGGUAGUGGCUUACCAAGGCUUUGACGGGUAGCCGGCCUGGGAGGGUGACCGGCCACAUUGGGACUGAGAGACGGCCCAGACUCCAACGGGAGGCAGCAGUGGGAAAUAUUGCACAAUGGGCGGAAGCCUGAUGCAGCAACGCCGCGUGCGGGAUGACGGCCUUCGGGUUGUAAACCGCUUUCGCCUGUGACGAAGCGUGAGUGACGGUAAUGGGUAAAGAAGCACCGGCUAACUACGUG